rnacentral:rRNA from 1 species
UGCGCAGGCGGGAAAUUAAGUCAGUGGUGAAAUCCUGCAGCUUAACUGUAGAAUUGCCAUUGAUACUGAUUUUCUUGAGUGCAGUUGAGGUGGGCGGAAUGUGUAAUGUAGCGGUGAAAUGCUUAGAUAUUACACAGAACACCGAUUGCGUAGGCAGCUCACUAAACUGUUACUGACGCUCAGGCACGAAAGCGUGGGGAGCGAACAGGAUCAGAUACCCUGGUAGUCC